CAGCAGCCGCGGGAAUACGUAUGUCACAAGCGUUAUCCGGAUUUAUUGGGCGUAAAGCGCGUCUAGGUGGUUAUAUAAGUCUGAUGUGAAAAUGCAUGGCUCAACUCUGUAUUGCGUUGGAAACUGUGUAACUAGAGUACUGGAGAGGUAAGCGGAACUACAAGUGUAGAGGUGAAAUUCGUAGAUAUUUGUAGGAAUGCCGAUGGGGAAGCCAGCUUACUGGACAGAUACUGACGCUGAAGCGCGAAAGCGUGGGUAGCAAACAGGAUUAGAGACCCCUGUAGUCCCUGUCUCUUAUACA
rnacentral:rRNA from 1 species